GUAUUCAUUUUGGCAGCACAGGUACUCAAAUUAGAACCACACAGGGAAGGUUAGCAUGGCCUCUAUUGAAGGAUCACAUGCAAAUUCGGGAAGCCUUCCAUAUUUUU